rnacentral:rRNA from 1 species
AGCGAACGCUGGCGGCAGGCUUAACACAUGCAAGUCGAGCGGGCGUAGCAAUACGUCAGCGGCAGACGGGUGAGUAACGCGUGGGAACGUACCUUUUGGUUCGGAACAACACAGGGAAACUUGUGCUAAUACCGGAUAAGCCCUUACGGGGAAAGAUUUAUCGCCGAAAGAUCGGCCCGCGUCUGGUUAGCUAGUUGGUGAGGUAACGGCUCACCAAGGCGACGAUCAGUAGCUGGUCUGAGAGGAUGAUCAGCCACAUUGGGACUGAGACACGGCCCAAACUCCUACGGGAGGCAGCAGUGGGGAAUAUUGGACAAUGGGCGCAAGCCUGAUCCAGCCAUGCCGCGUGAGUGAUGAAGGCCCUAGGGUUGUAAAGCUCUUUUGUGCGGGAAGAUAAUGACGGUACCGCAAGAAUAAGCCCCGGCUAACUUCGUGCCAGCAGCCGCGGUAAU